CAGUCUUUCUUCAUAGAUAUGAUUUACCAUGGAGUAAAUCAGAGUAGUCGUACAAUUUUACAGCCUGAAUUUCUCACUUUCUCCCAUGUUACAAUGUACACAUACACUCUUAACAUUUAUAAUUUUUAAUGGAUGUAAAAUUUUCUAUCAAUAGAUGGAGCAAAUUUAUUUAAUCUACUAUUAUUA